CCUACGGGUGGCAGCAGUCGAGAAUCAUUCACAAUGGGGGAAACCCUGAUGGGGCGACGCCGCGUGGGGGAAUGAAGGUCUUCGGAUUGUAAACCCCUGUCAUGUGGGAGCAAAUUAAAAAGAGAGUACCACAAGAGGAAGAGACGGCUAACUCUGUGCCAGCAGCCGCGGUAAUACAGAGGUCUCAAGCGUUGUUCGGAAUCACUGGGCGUAAAGAGUGCGUAGGCUGUGUCGUAAGUCGUGUGUGAAAGGCGCGGGCUCACCCCGCGGACGGCACCUGAUACGGCGAGACUAGAGUACUGGAGUGGGAACCGGCAUUCUCGGUGUAGCCG
rnacentral:rRNA from 1 species